AGAGUUUGAUCAUGGCUCAGGAUGAACGCUGGCGGCGUGCCUAACACAUGCAAGUCGAGCGGAGCUUUAAUCUUUACAGCUUAGCUGAAAAGAUUAAAGUUUAGCGGCGGACGGGUGAGUAACGCGUGGGCAACCUGCCCUGUGCAGGGGGAUAACACAUCGAAAGGUGUGCUAAUACCCCAUAAGACUACGAUGUCGCAUGGCAUAGUAGUAAAAGCUGAGGCGGCACAGGAUGGGCCCGCGUCUGAUUAGCUAGUUGGUAGGGUAACGGCCUACCAAGGCAACGAUCAGUAGCCGACCUGAGAGGGCGAACGGCCACACUGGAACUGAGACACGGUCCAGACUCCUACGGGAGGCAGCAGUGGGGAAUAUUGCACAAUGGGGGAAACCCUGAUGCAGCAACGCCGCGCGAGCGAAGAAGGCCUUCGGGUCGUAAAGCUCUGUCCUAAGGGAAGAAAGAUGACGGUACCUUAGGAGGAAGCCCCGGCUAACUACGUGCCAGCAGCCGCGGUAAAACGUAGGGGGCGAGCGUUAUCCGGAAUGACUGGGCGUAAAGGGUGUGUAGGCGGCCGGUAAAGUCUGGGGUGAAAGGCUACGGCUUAACCGUAGUAAGCCUUGGAAACUUAUCGGCUUGAGUGCAGGAGAGGAGAGCGGAAUUCCUAGUGUAGCGGCGAAAUGCGUAGAUAUUAGGAGGAACACCAGUGGCGAAGGCGGCUCUCUGGACUGCAACUGACGCUGAGGCACGAAAGCGUGGGGAGCGAACGGGAUUAGAUACCCUGGUAGUCCACGCCGUAAACGAUGAGUGCUAGGUGUUGGAGGUUCAUGCCUUCAGUGCCGCAGUUAACGCAUUAAGCACUCCGCCUGGGGAGUACGGUCGCAAGACUGAAACUCAAAGGAAUUGACGGGGACCCGCACAAGCAGCGGAGCAUGUGGUUUAACUCGAAGCAACGCGAAGAACCUUACCAGGACUUGACAUCCCUGUGACAGCUUCUUAAUCGAAGCCUUCCCUUCGGGGACACAGGAGACAGGUGGUGCAUGGUUGUCGUCAGCUCGUGUCGUGAGAUGUUGGGUUAAGUCCCGCAACGAGCGCAACCCUUGCCGUUAGUUGCCAGCACUUAGGGUGGGAACGCUAACGGGACAGCCGCCGACGAGGCGGAGGAAGGAGGGGAUGACGUCAGGUAAUCGUGCCCCUUAUGUCCUGGGCGACACACGCGCUACAAUGGUAGGGACAGAGGGCAGCGAGGCCGAGAGGUGGAGCGAAUCCCAGAAACCCUACCCCAGUUCAGAUUGCAGUCUGAAACCCGACUGCAUGAAGCCGGAAUCGCUAGUAAUCGCAGGUCAGCCACACUGCGGUGAAUACGUUCCCGGGUCUUGUACACACCGCCCGUCAAGCCACCCGAGUUGGAAACGCCCGAAGAUGGUGAGGCUAACCGAAAGGAGGCCAGCUAUCGAGGGUGGAGUCAGCGAGGGGGGCUAAGUCGUAACAAGGUAAC
rnacentral:rRNA from 1 species